ACAUCCCCGUGUCCCUAAACCCGGCACUCUCACACCCUGUCCUCUAGGUUCCUCUUUCCUGCCACCCAAUCGACACUUCUGGAUCAAACUUCUGGAUCAAGCUAGCAUCCAACUGUGGUUUUCUGCUGACUUUUUCCUCCUUGUCAGGAACGCAUAUGGAGAAGAGGGAAGUGUCAUCUUAGCUGGGACAGCGGAACAGGAUUUCUUCUCAUUGGAAACAAGCAGAGACAGCAACGCUCCUCAGAGGCGGCUCUUUCAGUUAUUCCUUCAAAGAUUUGGGAAAGCAGGCAGUGAUCCUUCUCUGGACAGACUUACCCUACACUGCAAUUCAUGGAAACUGUUGACCAUUGUGGAUGAAACUCAAAAAUUCAUGGGAAUAUUUUUGGAUUUGAGACUAUUAAAGGCUCUUUGAAAAUUCCCAUGUGUACAGAGCUGCCAGAAAAAUUCACUCUGUGGCAGCUUCUGAGGUUUCCAUUGUUGUUUCCAUCCUGCGCUCACAGGAAAACGAAAAUCUUCAAUAAAAAUGGGAGGUGGUGGGUUACAGUUACAGACUGGCAGCUGAUAGACAGCUUGGGAUAAAGUGGACACAAGCUCAAGUGACUCCCUGUUUUAGUAAAAUCAGAACUGCAUGGAGAAGGAACUAGACCAUACCUCCCACAACAGCUCGGCUUCCUCCUCAGAUGCAGCAAACUCCCAGGAAACUGGUUCUGCGGUAAACGUGAGUUUUGGAAAUGCAGGGAACCCUGGAGCCACAAUGCCACUUGGAUUGAAUUUAUGGACAGCUUUUCAAAACAAGCAGUUGAAACAUGAAUGUGCAUCUGAAGGAAGCUUGGGCAAAGAUGGCUUUGUUUUUGUUUUUGGGGUUUUUUUUUCUGUUUGUUUUGCUUACUGGUCAAAAUACAAACGUUUGAAUAAAUUAAUAAUUAGGCAUCAAUUUAAAUGUUUCAUACAGCACAAUGUUAAUAUUUCAUAUGCUACACACUGUUUUCAGUCACUUAACCCCCCCCCACAUUUCCCUGUAGCUUUUGAAAAGUGACAUUUUUUAAAAAGAAAAGAAAUAGAAGAUGAUAUUUUGAAAGUGAUUUAAAAAAUGGUCUGAGUUUCUGUCAGUUCUUUGUCACUUUUCCCAGAGCUUUUUCAACUGCAGCUUAAACUAAUGAAGAUAUUUGACUCCUCUGCAACUGCAUAUUUGAAAAAAAACAGAUUCUCAGAUAUGAGCAGAGGUACAAAUGUACAUGUGCCUGAACUGAACAUUUUCUGUGCUUCUGCAUAGUUUUGUGUGCAUUUGUGAAUGGGAUAUAAUUAUUUUUAGCAUUUUUGCAAACACUUUUUUUUGCUACUAUAACUGUUUGGUUGUUUUUGUAGAACUUGAAUUUUUACAGCUUAAGCCGCAGAAAUCUAAAACAAUUUGCGAAAAAUAACCUCACUGUGCAGUGACUGAGAUUGCAUGCAUGUCUUUAACAUCCAUGAUAAAACUUUGCUCCCAUUGUCUAUUUUUAGUAGCGCAAACAUGUACCUAUAAGAUUACUUACUGUCUUGUUUAGGUCUUAAUUUUUCAUUAAGCUAUAAUUUGGACAAAGGAUGGUCAGAAAUGCUUGAAUGGAAUUCAUCCAUAUAGGCAACACAGUCCCAUUUACAUUGCGUGUCUAAUUCCAGAUAUUAUCUACCAACAAACCUAUUCUGUGCUGCCCAAUUUAAGCAUGAUGGGCAUUUUUUUUUAGCUAUGCAUUUAUUUAUUUUAGCCAUAGUGACAUGACAUUUAUCAAAAUAAAUAUCAUUUAUAUUUUAGCUAGACUUAAAAUAUUUAUGAUUUUGGACUGGAAAUCUUCCUUGCUUAGUUAAAUUAUUCAGACUCAUGGGAUUUCUGGGGCAGACUUUUCCAUGUUUGAUAAUCAUGUCCAGUGGCUUGCUUUCAAGCUCAGAAGUAAAAGGGGACUGUUGGGCUCUUGUUUUUCUUCCUCAUGAUCAUUGCCAUUAAAUCCUUGGUGCUGAACAUGUUUUGUCAAGGCAAUUUUUGUUUCGAUUACAGAUUUGAUUCUCUUAAGAAAUUACCUAUAGUGUUUGGUGGUUACUUUUUAAAUUCCUUUUUAAUGCAUUAAUACACUUACUUUAAUACUA